AUGAACGCUAGCUACAGGCUUAACACAUGCAAGUCGAGGGGCAUCAGGAAGAAAGCUUGCUUUCUUUGCUGGCGACCGGCGCACGGGUGAGUAACACGUAUCCAACCUGCCCUUUACUCGGGGAUAGCCUUUCGAAAGAAAGAUUAAUACCCGAUGGCAUAAUGAUUCCGCAUGGUUUCAUUAUUAAAGGAUUCCGGUAAAGGAUGGGGAUGCGUUCCAUUAGGUUGUUGGUGAGGUAACGGCUCACCAAGCCUUCGAUGGAUAGGGGUUCUGAGAGGAAGGUCCCCCACAUUGGAACUGAGACACGGUCCAAACUCCUACGGGAGGCAGCAGUGAGGAAUAUUGGUCAAUGGGCGCUAGCCUGAACCAGCCAAGUAGCGUGAAGGAUGAAGGCUCUAUGGGUCGUAAACUUCUUUUAUAUAAGAAUAAAGUGCAGUAUGUAUACUGUUUUGUAUGUAUUAUAUGAAUAAGGAUCGGCUAACUCCGUGCCAGCAGCCGCGGUAAUACGGAGGAUCCGAGCGUUAUCCGGAUUUAUUGGGUUUAAAGGGAGCGUAGGUGGACUGGUAAGUCAGUUGUGAAAGUUUGCGGCUCAACCGUAAAAUUGCAGUUGAUACUGUCAGUCUUGAGUACAGUAGAGGUGGGCGGAAUUCGUGGUGUAGCGGUGAAAUGCUUAGAUAUCACGAAGAACUCCGAUUGCGAAGGCAGCUCACUGGACUGCAACUGACACUGAUGCUCGAAAGUGUGGGUAUCAAACAGGAUUAGAUACCCUGGUAGUCCAUGCCGUAAACGAUGAUUACUAGGUGUUGGGGGAUUGACCCCCUCAGUGCCGCAGUUAACACAAUAAGUAUUCCACCUGGGGAGUACGCCGGCAACGGUGAAACUCAAAGGAAUUGACGGGGGCCCGCACAAGCGGAGGAACAUGUGGUUUAAUUCGAUGAUACGCGAGGAACCUUACCCGGGCUUAAAUUGCAGUGGAAUGAUGUGGAAACAUGUCAGUGAGCAAUCACCGCUGUGAAGGUGCUGCAUGGUUGUCGUCAGCUCGUGCCGUGAGGUGUCGGCUUAAGUGCCAUAACGAGCGCAACCCUUAUCUUCAGUUACUAACAGGUCAUGCUGAGGACUCUGGAGAGACUGCCGUCGUAAGAUGUGAGGAAGGUGGGGAUGACGUCAAAUCAGCACGGCCCUUACGUCCGGGGCUACACACGUGUUACAAUGGGGGGUACAGAAGGCAGCUAGCGGGUGACCGUAUGCUAAUCCCAAAAUCCUCUCUCAGUUCGGAUCGAAGUCUGCAACCCGACUUCGUGAAGCUGGAUUCGCUAGUAAUCGCGCAUCAGCCACGGCGCGGUGAAUACGUUCCCGGGCCUUGUACACACCGCCCGUCAAGCCAUGGGAGCCGGGGGUACCUGAAGUACGUAACCGCAAGGAUCGUCCUAGGGUAAAACUGGUGACUGGGGCU
rnacentral:rRNA from 1 species